GGCGUCAGGACGAACGGCUGGCGGCGUGCUUAACACAUAGCAAGUCGUAACGGAAAGGGACCCGUGCGUUUUGUGGGGUGGCUCGAGUGGCGAACGGGUAGAGUACACGUGAGUAACCUGCCCUUGACUUUGGGUAGUAACUUCUAGGAAACUGGGGCGUAAUACCGGAGUAGGAGCUCCUGCUGCAUGGUGGGGGUUGGAAAGUUUCGGCGGUUGGGGAUGGACUCGCGGCUUAUCAGCUUGUUGGUGGGGUAGUGGCUUACCAAGGCUUUGACGGGUAGCCGGCCUGAGAGGGUGACCGGCCACAUUGGAACUGAGAUACGGCCCAGACUCCUACGGGAGGCAGCAGUGGGGAAAUAUUGCACAAUGGGCGGAAGCCUGAUGCAGCAACGCCGCGUGCGGGAUGACGGCCUUCGGGUUGUAAACCGCUUUCGCCUGUGACGAAGCGUGAGUGACGGUAAUGGGUAAAGAAGCACCGGCUAACUACGUG
rnacentral:rRNA from 1 species